ACUUCCUCCCUCCGUUUGACCCAUCCGGGGAGGGCGGGGGCUGCUGAGCUGGCAGUCCCACUGUUUAUCCGACCUGGUGCUCUGGCUUGGGCGGAGACAGUACUUCGAGCUCCGAGUGCCUUCUCCCACCUCCUCUGCCCUCUAGGCUUCAAGGGAAACAGAAGUUCUUCUCAAGUUAAACAACAAAGCGAAACGUCCUGUACCCAAGUCAUAUGUAGAUAUGAACAAAGAGCAAAGAAUUUGUCCUGGAAGUCCUCGUAUUCUUCUCCUCAUCUUCCUGGUCACCUAUAAACUGAUCAUUGAGAAAGAGAAUGGGCUCACAAUGAAAGUCAGGUUUUACACUAGUCUGUUUUGCCCUGAGCUGUGGAGAGGUUCAAGAUCCCAGAGGAAUGGAUACUCCAACUGGGUGGGAACCAGAUGGGAAGAUUGAGGUCAAGAGAGAUCUCAGAUCUGGAACAAGGCUGGAGAGCGGAGUGCCUUGAAUACUAAGCUAAGGGAUCUCAGCUCUGCAAUGCGGACCAGUGAUGUUUCAACAUUUCCUCAUUUGAAUGCUUAUUCAUUGACCCACUUCCUACAUGCCAUGUGACCAGAUGUCCCAAGAAGAGUUCCUUUGGGAUGAAGUUAAUUCUCAUCCUUUGUAUACCAUUGUGAAAUAGCACUGCUGAGAUGGUGACAAGACACAUCUGAAGCAAUCACCUAGACGAGUGCCAAGGAUCCAAAAGCUUUAGCUUCUCAUCCUGCUGUUAACUUGUUCUGUUAGCCCAGACGGAAUCCUGAGCUCUCCUAUAGUUAAACAAGAAGCAUUCAUCCUCAGAACCAGUGGCUCUGGCCCCUUCUCCCACCAUGAACUCGACGUAAUAAAUAACCAGAGGAUACUGGAGUAAGAGGUGCCACAACCUUGUGUGACCCAGAUACUCGUUUAUUGAUUUUUCCCUACUAAUUAUUGAGCACUUCAGAUGCCCUGGUUGUUGAGGAUAAGCAAUAAAGAGGAUCGGGACCUGCUCUGUCAACUCUGUUACGUGGUUUACUGACCAAGGUAACCAGGAGAUCAGCCUGUGGAGUUUGGGGGUCAGGAGGGCUUGAGUUUGAGUCUUGAAUCCAUCAUUAAUCAGUUGUGUGACUUUGGAAACUCAGUCUCUUCAGUUCACUCAAAAGGAGGCUGGGCUAUGAGAAGUCCAACAAAGCACAUGGUAAGCAUUUUACUAGAUUACUGUUAAUUUUUUAAAGCUAUAUAUUCUUUGGCCAUGAACAAGCAAUGAAAGAGAACAAACAAUGAUCAGAAUGAUAGCUAACAUUUAUUGAGUGCCUAGGAUGGAUUAGACACUGUUGAAAGAUCUCUCCAUGUACUAAAUUAAUUCUCUUCACAAUCAAUGAGGUCUGUACAAUUAACAUCAGUAUACAAAGAAGAAGCACAUCCAGCUACAGGUAGAGGAGUCAGGAUUUGAACCAAGGUGGCUGAACUUGAGCGCUCGCACUCACCAGCAGGAGGUACAACUUACAUACAAAUCUCAUGAGAAAGCUUGAUGAGUUUUUAUAUAUGUAUACAUCCAGGUAGCCAUUACCCAGAUCAAGGUAAAGAACAUUCUCUGCUCCCCGGGGCAAGUUCUCUGCUGUCCUCUCCUAGUCAGUGCCCUUACCAAAGAUAACCACCUUCUGAUCUUUCCUGUUUUUGAACUUCAUAUAAAUAGAAUUAUAAAGUUCAUGCUCUUUUUGUGUCUGGCUUCUUUCACUCAAAAUUAUAUGGAGACAUUCAUCCACGUUUUGGAGUGUAGCAAUGCUCUUCGUUUUUUCAUUGCCAUGUAGUAUUACAUUGCAUGACAAUAUUACAGUUUAUUCAUCUUUUGUACUAUUGAUGCACAGUUGGGUUGUUUCUGGGUUUUGGUAUUAUAAACAUAGCUGUUAUGAACAUUCUUGCACAAGCCUUGUGAUGGACAAAUGAGUGCAUUUCUGUUGAGUGUAUACCCAGGGAUGGUUUAUAGAGCUCUGGUGGGUAGAACAGCUGUUUUUGAAUACACAUUUCAUAAAGCGGGGGUCCUCAUAAGAUUUCACUUGGGAUGUGUGGCUGCUUAAGAUUUCUUUUUAAAGGAAAAAGUUUAACUUCCACGAGUGCAAUCCUCUGCAUUUGCAGAUGAUCAGACGGAGAUUCAGAGAAGACGGUGAUUUGCUCAGACUUAAGCCACAGCAAAGCCAUGCCUGGAACUCAAUUACUAGAUAGAAGUUUCUUAUGAACUUCUGAGCUGUCUGAAAUGGGUGCUGUAUAUCACUCAACCUGGCUGCUGGUCAGAUGUGGAAAGGACAAUCUGAGUCAGAAGCCCUGGGUUCAAGCCCCACAACUGUUACCAGUGUGUGAUGCAUGGCAAGGUACUUGCUGCUGUGAACUAACUGGAAAGUGGAUACCCUGCUUCCCAGCAUUGCUGGAUUAAAGGAGAUCACGAUGCAGAGACCCUCCAUUGGUUGAGAAGCACUUAACAUCAUUAUUAUCAUUACCAUCAAAAUAUAUUCUAAGGGGAUGCUUUGGAGCCCGAGAUGUAAGGUAGAGCUGAACAGAGGCAUGAUGCACAGAUAACUGUGGCUCAAACCUGAAGAAUGAAGCAGGGUGAGGCCCACGGUGUGGAGGCUGGCCAGAGCGGACAGUUACUGAGAACAUUCUACGCGGUGAGCGCUGCUCUGAGUGCUCUUCCUCUACCCUCCCAUUUAAUCCUCACAAAACCCAGUGAGGAACAACCUGUAUAUGCCUAUUUUCCAAAGAAGGACUUGAGGCACAGAGCACUUAAGCAACUCGCUUAAUGUCACAGUCAAUGGCAUUGAAACCCUGGCACCCCCAAGCGUAUGGUCUUUUUGUUCACCCUGCAUUCAUUCACCCAAGGCUGACACAGUGCCCCCUCUGUGCUAGGGGGCGGGGUGCAGAGCUGAACACUUUGGUUCCCCCAACCUCACAGCCCUCACCGUCUUUCUAAUCCAAUCCAGUUGGCACUCUCCCACACUUAACUCAAGAACUGCUCUGAAAUGUAACUGGUCUGAGCUUAUGUGCUAUAUGUGUAGAAUACACACCAGGUUUAGAAGACCUAAUACAAAAAGAAUGCAAAAUAUACCAUUAAUAAUUUUUAAUAUUGACUGCAUGUUGAAGUGACUGUGUUUUGGAUAUAAACUAUAUCAUUAAGGUUUAUUGUACCUUUAAGAAAAAAAAGUGGCCACCAGAAAACUAGAGUCAUGUGGGCGUUCACAUGCUAUUUCUGUUGGAUGGCGUUGCUCUAGAAUGUGAAGUCCUUGAAGGCAGGGGCUGUCUCUGUAUUGUUCACCGUGGGUCCCAGGAGACAGAACAGGGCCAGUACACAAUGGUCCCUCAAUAGAGUUGUUGGAUAAUUGAAUAAAUGACCAAAUCCCAUGCA